UGGUUUGAAUAUUAAAUCUACGGAGGUAAAAGAUGGGCAUGCGUAGCAUUAGUUAGUUGGUGAGGUAACGGCUCACCAAGACUAUGAUGCUUAGGGGGUCUGAGAGGAUAGUCCCCCACACUGGUACUGAGACACGGACCAGACUCCUACGGGAGGCAGCAGUGAGGAAUAUUGGUCAAUGGGCGCAAGCCUGAACCAGCCAUGUCGCGUGCAGGAUGACGGCCCUAUGGGUUGUAAACUGCUUUUUUACAGGAAUAAACUUUGCUACGAGUAGUGAACUGAAGGUACUGUAAGAAUAAGGAUCGGCUAACUCCGUGCCAGCAGCCGCGGUAAUACGGAGGAUCCAAGCGUUAUCCGGAUUUAUUGGGUUUAAAGGGUCCGUAGGCGGGCUUUUAAGUCAGUGGUGAAAUCCCGGAGCUCAACUCCGGAACUGCCAUUGAUACUGAAGGCCUUGAAUUUAGUUGAGGUGGGCGGAAUACGUUAUGUAGCGGUGAAAUGCAUAGAUAUAACGUAGAACACCGAUUGCGAAGGCAGCUCACUAAACUAACAUUGACGCUGAUGGACGAAAGCGUGGGGAGCGAACAGGAUUAGAUACCCUGGUAGUCCACGCCGUAAACGAUGAUUACUCGUUGUGCACAAUACACCGUGCGUGACUGAGCGAAAGCAUUAAGUAAUCCACCUGGGGAGUACGUUCGCAAGAAUGAAACUCAAAGGAAUUGACGGGGGCCCGCACAAGCGGAGGAACAUGUGGUUUAAUUCGAUGAUACGCGAGGAACCUUACCUGGACUUAAAUGUAGAUUGACCGGCUUAGAAAUAGGCUUUCUCUUCGGAGCAAUUUACAAGGUGCUGCAUGGUUGUCGUCAGCUCGUGCCGUGAGGUGUCGGGUUAAGUCCCAUAACGAGCGCAACCCCUAUCGUUAGUUGCUAACAGGUUAAGCUGAGGACUCUAGCGAGACUGCCACCGUAAGGUGAGAGGAAGGUGGGGAUGACGUCAAAUCAGCACGGCCCUUACGUCCAGGGCUACACACGUGUUACAAUGGCCAGUACAAAGGGCAGCUACCAGGCGACUGGAUGCUAAUCUCAAAAGCUGGUCUCAGUUCGGAUCGGAGUCUGCAACUCGACUCCGUGAAGUUGGAUUCGCUAGUAAUCGUAGAUCAGCAACGCUACGGUGAAUACGUUCCCGGCCCUUGUACCCUCCGCCC
rnacentral:rRNA from 1 species